GACGUAGGGGGCGAGCGUUGUCCGGAUUUAUUGGGCGUAAAGAGCGUGUAGGCGGCCAGACAAGUCUGCUGUGAAAACUCGAGGCUCAACCUCGAGCUGUCGGUGGAAACUGUCUGGCUAGAGUCCGGAAGAGGAGAGUGGAAUUCCUGGUGUAGCGGUGAAAUGCGCAGAUAUCAGGAAGAACACCUAUGGCGAAGGCAGCUCUCUGGGACGGUACUGACGCUGAGACGCGAAAGCGUGGGGAGCGAACAGG
rnacentral:rRNA from 1 species